UACGGAGGGUGCAAGCGUUAUCCGGAUUUACUGGGUUUAAAGGGUGCGUAGGUGGGUAGGUAAGUCAGUGGUGAAAUCUUCAAGCUUAACUUGGAAACUGCCAUUGAUACUAUUUAUCUUGAAUACUUUGGAGGUAAGCGGAAUAUGUCAUGGUAGCGGUGAAAUGCUUAGAUAUGACAUAGAACACCAAUUGCGAAGGCAGCUGGCUACACGAAUAUUGACACUGAU
rnacentral:rRNA from 1 species